rnacentral:rRNA from 1 species
UACAGAGGGGGCAAGCGUUAUUCGGAAUUAUUGGGCGUAAAGGGCGCGUAGGCGGCCUGGCAAGUGGAAGGUGAAAUCCCCCGGCUUAACCGAGGAACUGCCCUCCAAACUGCUUGGCUUGAGUCCGGGAGAGGUGAGUGGAAUUCCCAGUGUAGCGGUGAAAUGCGUAGAUAUUGGGAGGAACACCAGUGGCGAAGGCGGCUCACUGGACCGGUACUGACGCUGAUGCGCGAAAGCGUGGGGAGCAAACGGG